rnacentral:lncRNA from 1 species
GGGAGCACCCUGGGAAACAGUGUGGCUAUGACUUGGAGCUGCUCACCAGUUCCAGUCAUUCUGUGGUUGAGAGCUGCUCCCUAUGGAUGUUAAUUCUUCUCCAUUUUAGAUUUUCCACAGGUGUGGGCCCCAUUAGCUCUGGCCACCUGAGAAAGCCCUCAGGCAAAGAGUCGCAGGUGAAAGCCAGCAGUUAGAGGUUCACAGAAAUGAGUACAGAAGCAUCUUCAGUUGGAGAGCCACUGCCUCUUGCUGUGAAAUAUUUGGGAAUCUUCAGAAACCAUGAAGAAUAACCUGCUAAAGCUGAGCUGGGACUCUGCCUGGAUAUAACUUAUGGCCUAUUCUAUAUGGAAAGUUGGUUUUCUCACAGUUCCACUCCCUUCCCAGAUAUCAGCAAAUGGCCCUCCUAGCCCAGAAGUCUCCAGAGAGGGUUUUAUUUUGUCAGUCAAGCUGGAAUGCAGUGGCGUGAACAUUGCUUACUGCAGCUUCAAUCUCCUGAGGUCAAACAAUCUUCUCACCUCAGCCUUGCAAGCAGCUAGGACUACAGGCAUGUGCCACCACGCCCCACUAAUUUUUUAAUUUUUCUUUUGUGGAGACGCAGUCUUGUUAUCUUGAACAGGCUGGUCUUGAACUCUUGGAGUCAAGCAAUCCUUCUGCCUCAGACUCUCAAAAGUGCUGGGAUUACAGGCAUGAGCCACCACAUUCAGCCAGGAAAAGUUUUUGUACAUUUAAAAAAUUAUAGGAUAUUUGUGUAUAUAGCUUUGCUGGUUUGACUUCCUAGAAUAGCUCCCAGGAACACAAAGUACUUAAUUGAUU